AGCAGCUAUUAUCUUAGGUACAAUGGGUUCAGGAGCGGGGGCAAUUGACUCCAAAGGUUCGUAUUGUCUGGAGAUAGCAUCAGCCUUGACAUUAUGGUACCCAGGCCUAUAUGUGAUAAUGAACUGAAAGCGUGAAAGAAAUAAGGACCAUCUGGCUUGACGAGAGGACAACCUUUUAGCAUCUGCUAUAUAGGAGAGAUUCUUAUGAUCAGUUAUAACCAGGAUUUUGUGUCUAG